rnacentral:rRNA from 1 species
CAGUCGCCGCGGUAAUACGUAGGGGGCGAGCGUUGUCCGAAGUUACUGGGCGUAAAGCGCGCGUAGGCGGCUUCUUAAGUCUGAGGUGAAAGGUUCAACGCUUAACGUGAACAGUGCCUUGGAUACUGGGGAGCUUGAGUAUGGGAGAGGGCAGUGGAAUGGCUGGUGUAGCGGUGAAAUGCGUAGAUAUCAGUCGGAACACCCAUGGCGAAGGCAGCUGCCUGGCCUAAUACUGACGCUGAGGUGCGAAAGCGUGGGGAGCGAACGGGAUUAGAUACCCCUGUAGUCCCUGUCUCUUAUU